UACGUAGGGGCAAGCGUUGUCCGGAAUCAUUGGGCGUAAGAGCGCGUAGGCGGUCCGGUAAGUCCGCUCUGAAAGUCCGGGGCUCAACCCCGGGAGGCGGGCGGAUACUGUCGGGCUAGAGUCCGGAAGAGGCGAGUGGAAUUCCUGGUGUAGCGGUGAAAUGCGGCAGAUAUCAGGAGGAACACCAACGGCGAAGGCAGCUCGCUGGGACGGUACUGACGCUGAGACGCGAAAGCGUGGGGAGCGAACAGG
rnacentral:rRNA from 1 species